AUGGUGCACGUCAACUUCUACCGCAACUAUGGUAAGACAUUCAAGAAACCAAGGCGUCCUUAUGAGAAGGAGCGUCUUGAUGCAGAACUGAAGCUGGUUGGUGAGUAUGGAUUGAGGUGCAAGCGUGAGCUCUGGAGGGUUCAGUAUGCAUUGAGCAGGAUCCGUAAUGCUGCAAGACACUUGCUCACACUGGAUGAGAAGAAUCCCCGCCGUAUCUUUGAGGGUGCGGCUCUUCUCCGUCGCAUGAACCGCUAUGGUCUCCUUGCUGAGGGCCAGGAUAAGCUUGAUUACGUCCUUGCCCUGACUGCUGAGAACUUCCUUGCAAGGCGCCUUCAGACUCUUGUCUUCAAGGCUGGCAUGGCAAAAUCCAUCCACCAUGCCCGUGUCUUGAUCAGGCAACGCCACAUCAGGGUUGGCAGGCAGAUCGUCAAUGUCCCGUCGUUCAUGGUGAGGGUUGAAUCUGAGAAGCACAUCGACUUCUCACUGACAAGUCCAUUCGGCGGAGGCCCUGCAGGCAGGGUGAAGAGAAAGAACCAGAAGAAGGCAAGUGGUGGCGGCGACGCCGGUGGUGAUGAGGAAGAGGAAUGA
rnacentral:rRNA from 1 species